rnacentral:pre_miRNA from 1 species
AGGAGGAACAACCGCAGUGGCCGGGCCAGCCCUGGAGCCCUGACUUCAGCCCCCGCAGUAACUACCGAGCUCUCCCUUUGCAGGGCCUGGAGGCUCCGGGGCGGG